rnacentral:lncRNA from 1 species
AUCACAGGCCUUCUGCUGUUACCCCUAGGCGGAGCUUGGUCGAUGAACCCAUGGUUCCCCCUGUCCCCAAAAGGCCCUCCCAUCGGCCCAAAAGGGCUAGGUCCAAACAUGUCAUGCUCACCCAUCAUCUGACCCCCAAACGGGCUAGGUCCAAACAUGCCACCCAUCAUCUGACCCCCAAACGGACGGGUAAAGAAUGGAUCAUCAAAUGGAUCCCUCCCCCCAAAGAAGCCAGAAAUCAAGCUCCUGUGGGAACCAAACCCAGCAAAUGGAUCCCUGCCCCUGAAGACGUCAUCCCUCCUGUUCUGCCCUCUAUCCAUUUCGCAGCAAUUAGGUGGGCUCUGCAAGCUGAAACGGUUAUGGUAGUAGUGAGUUACUCGCAACAAUUUAUCACACAGUAAGCAUCAUAUAAUGCAAAAUUUCUCAAGCAAGCAUCCUUCCAUUCCUUCCCCCAAACAAAGCUAUUCAACUCAAUUUCAAUCAUGAGAAGGUAUGAAACAAUUGCACUGAGCAUUACCAUCGCUAAAUGGGUUUAAUAAAGAAAUAAAUUUACGCCCAUACGGGUAUCUAGAUUCUAGACACCCUCCCUCCCUUCUUUCUUCCUAAGAAAAGACCUAACCCAUCGAUUGUUCCAGAAGAGCUAAUACACCAUCGACAUGCAUGCACAUUCCUUGCUAAUAUAGAACACCACCACCAAUCCGACGAGCAAGGUAUUCAAACCGAAAUGCGCAACAAGCACCAGAGACUUCACAACGAACGCUCCACCGAUCCCUAACUGCCUAGCAGGAAAUUAACCGAAGAGUUUAUCCCUGCCGUCGUUACCUGAAGGCGGAAGGCCCUCCUGGAGCGCGCGCGCAAGGGGACGGCCGUCUAAGGGAGGGAUCGCCGGAGGAACUCCGGAGCCUGGUGCCCCGGGACGGCUUUUUUAUUUUGGGUUGGUGAAUGAAUGGGGGUGGUCGGAUUGGGGGAGAGACGAGACGAGGAAAUCCGUUCGGCGCUGUGCGUGUGGUGUCUGGAAUUUGCCUUCUCCCGAACGUUCGGGUCGUGGAGGCUCGCGAACCGUCCACACUGGACGUGCUGGGAAGAAAUUGCUACUCAGACUGUCUCCAACAAAUUGUCGUUUGGGUAGCGCUACAGGUAAAAGAUUCCAUACCUAUUUUUAGUCUUCUCCAACAACAAGACCUAAAAGACAACACUCUCUGCAAAUGGUCUCGAAGAGAGAAUACCCAAAUUUGGGUUAUGCCUCUCCUGAUACUCAAAAUAGGUCUUCUGUAUGGAUACUCUGUUGGAGGCUAUAGGUAUUGUGUUGGAAACCUAUUUUGGAUUUAGGUUCCCAAAUGGCUCUUCUAUUGGAGAUAGCCUCAGGGCUCACCAGCUCAGGCACUCAGCUCAGCUCUUCGGCUGUAUGUCUUUUUUUAAUCCUUUUUAAAAGAAAUUUUGAAACCAAUCCGAACUGCCUUCUAUCAGGCAGUCGAGAAGUUAAAUAAUUUUACAUUCUAAUCAAAAUAUUUAUAAGGUAUUAUUAUUUAUAGUAAAUGUAUUUAAUGAUGCAAAUGCUGAUAUUUUUCUAAAUCUAAUUAAACUUUAAAUUAUUUGAAUCUAUGGUAAAUGAGAGUUUUUUUUUAACUAUCCUGCAAAAUUCAAAUAUUAAACAAAAUUUUGUGGAAGGAGAAAAGGAAACGAGAAAUUGAUAUAUAAAUUGUCACGGAUACAACUGUGCAUCUCGGGUCCAUAAUCAUAACUAUUCAAGUGAUGGUUUUUCCUUUUUUUCUCAUUUAUAAAAUUUUGUUUACCCUCAAAUCUAUCUCUUUAUAAAGGCCUUGUUUAGUUCCCAAGAAAUUUUGCAAAACUUUUCAGAUUCCUCGUCACAUUAAAUCUUUAGACACAUGUAUGAAGUAUUAAAUAUAGACAAAAAUAAAAACUAAUUACACAGUUUGGUCAAAAUUGACGAGACGAAUCUUUUGGGCCUAGUUAAUCCAUGAUUAGACAAUAUUUGUCAAAUACAAACGAAAAAGCUACAAUAUCGAUUUUGCAAAAUAUUUUGAAACUAAACAAAGCCAAAAGCAAAAAUCUCACUUAUCUUUCAGUCUUUUUCUCUGACUACACUUAUCUUUCAAUAUUCACACGCAAAUCAUCCACAUUGUGUACUCCACUAAGUGCCACAUCAUCCCCAGAUAAUCUUCCACUAAAUCCAACUAGUAUAGUGCCCAUGCUAACGCCAUGGCUUCAUUUUAAGGGUGCACUUGAAAACAACCAGGUAACAACAUUUUUUGAUAGUUUAAGUCACACAUGAUUGUUUAUGACCAUAUAUAUUAUCCAGAAAACACUUAAGCGUCUAAACACAACAUAUAUAGUCCAUCAAUUAAAGUUUAGCUAAAUCAAAUUAUUUUACACUGGAAGUCUAAUGACAAAGUGCAUCAGACACGUCAGGGCAUUAAGCCAUGCCAAAGCAAUUGGACUUUCACUAAAAGAAGAUAUGUUUUAGCUUUGCAUAACAAAACAUGAGAAAGAAGAGAGGGCAUUCUUUUUGUGAUAUAUAACUGCAGAUGCCAUUUUUAAACGUAUCAGGUCGUAUGUCCGAGGAAUGCUGAGAAGGCUUUGCACCUGUCAACAGUGGAAGGUCGCAAAUUACACAAGGUCAAUUCACACGCAUCAGCUCCUCAUUUGUUAAUGAAUACCAGAAGCAUAGGACAUGCAUAAAAUAAAAUUUAAAGCAAAAAACUAAAGAACACAAGUCUAGAAUUUAUAUUGACACAAAUAAAAUUAAAUAAAACAUGGAGCACCAAAAAUAAAAUUAUUUGAGUAUACCCAACGUUAAUCAACAAUUUGGAACGUCUUUAUAAACAUUAUUCUUGGUGUUGUUCUCCCGUGGAAUAUAUGGUUUAGUCAAACUCUUGAUCUUGACACACCCCUCGACAAUGCAACGUACCUAUUUGAUGUAAUAAAUUUUUAUAAUUUUUUUUAUAAUUUUGGUCAAACUUUAAUACUUGACUCUCCAAGAUUCUUGGAAUAACUUAUAAUUUGGAAUUGAGGGAGUAUCUUGCAAACCUGAAAUUCAAAUUGACAUUUAUUUUCAGAAAUAGCAGCAGGAUAUAUGUAGGAGUAUUAAUGAAUUAAAAGCAUAAUUAACAACCUCUACAGGAAGAUAAAUUGGCUUCUGCUCACUGCCAACAACCCAACACCGAUGCAUGGGAGAGGUUAAAACCUAAUAUUUUAAGGAUCUAAGAAACAUUUAAUUAGAAGUGCUGAUUUUUUUGAAUGAAAGAUUAGAAGUGCUGAUUGCAGAAUUCUGUGCCUUACCAUAAUCAGGUUGAGUCAAGUUUGUAUCCACGACAUCUAUCUUUUGGAUGUUCUGAACAAAGUCAUUCAGCAGCAGAGAUAAAACAAAAACUGAUGAGAACACAUAUACAAUAGAAAAAUAACAGCACGUUACAAGCUCUAAUAAGAUGCAAUCUAAACGUGGAAUAGAAUUACCAUGCAAAGAACAUCCAGCAGGCCAAGAACAUCCGCCAGUCCUUGGCGCCUCCUCCCAUGCUUCCUACGGCCGGAGUGGGAUCGUCGCAGCAGGAGGAGUCUCGAACUCUCGAUGCGCAGCGCUGGGGCAGAGAGGGUGGACGUAUGCCAAGGCAAACAGUGAUCUCGGUGGCGGACGUCGGACAUCGCGUAGCCGAUAGGGGCGGGAUCGGUUGUACACUGGCCGGACUGGACAACGGCUAAGGUGGAGAGGGCGAACGACGAUCUCACUCAUUGGACUGCACGACGGUUGUGGGACGACGAUCUCGCUGGAUUGCACGGUGGCUGCACCGGUGAUCUCGUUGGCGCAAGGCAGAGGGCGGACGGUGAUCUUGUUGAACUGCAUGGCGGCUGUAGGCACGGCCGGCUGCACUGCCCCAGGUCAGUAGGAGAUGGCGAUCUCGCUAGCGGACUGCGGACGUUGCGUAGCCGAGGCAGACCACGAUUUGGCUGAUCUCGCGCGGAUGUCGCGCGUGGGCCGAGAUGUGGGUUCCCUUGUGAGAGGCAGAUGGUUGGGCGACGACGAGGACCAUACACGCGAUUCUGAUCGUCGGAUUUGAGUGAGUAAGGAGAGAGAAAGAUAAGAAGCAAUCUGAGUGGUUCAUUUGUACGUGGUUGUUUCUGUGGGUACAUUUUGUUUGGUGAGUGGAGGAGAGUUAUCUCAGCGGGGAAGAUUUUUUUGUGUAGCCUUGGCAAUGUUUAUGUUGGUGCAUUAGUAGGGUAGAUUAUUAUUUUUAGUCAGUCAACACACAAGGCAUUCACAUUGUACUAUUUAUUUGUCUAUCAUUUCUUCUACACUUUGUUUAGAUACAUCCAAAAACCCAAAACUUUACAAGAUUCUCCGUCACAUCGAAUCUUGCGGCACAUGCAUGAAGUAUUAAAUAUAGAUAAAAAGAAUAACUAAUUGCACAGUUUACCUGUAAAUCAUGAGACGAAUCUUUUAAGCCUAGUUACUCCAUAAUUAGACAAUGUUUGUCAAAUAAAAACAAAAAUGCUACAGUGUCAAAAUCUAAAAAAAAUUUACAUCUAAACAAGGCCUUAGAUCUAUUUUUCUAUAAAUGUCUUAUUUGAAAGCCCUACCACAACAUGUGAGGAAUUAUUCUAAUCUAUCUAUAUCUCUUAUAAAGAUAAACUCCACUAGCUAUUUCUCUUAUCAUAGCACAUUCAAUUAUCUCAACAUGCAAAGUAUCCACAUCAGCAUCCACUAACACAUUCAAUUAACACAUACCAUUAUGUCUUCAUUCAAGCUAUUCGCAUUAGCAAACGAUAUCAUUUAUUAACAUAUAUUGCUUCAUUACCAACACUAUACAUAUAAAUUCUUAGCGAUUAACAUUCUAACAUAUUUAUAUUCCUUCUUCAUAUCCGCGACAACCAUGGGGAAUCCUCCUAGUUUUGUAUGAUGGUAAAUCCAGAUACGUUGAUUUUUAUAUGUUGACCCACUGGGACCAUCUAAACCUCUUGUAGGCUCAGAGGAUUCUGACUUUGAAAUAUUUAACCUAAUAUUGUUAAAUUCACUCUCACAAAAUAAUGGUCUAAUAAAUAACUUGUCGAUUAUAUAUAUUUUUUACAAAAUGUCAUUACAAAUUGUAAAAAGAAACUAAAAAUAUGACAAAAAAACCAUUCAUUCCAUAUGACAGGAAGGUCUGUUUCACAAUAAAUUUGCUAUCUCACACUUUGAGAAAUUAACUAAAUUUAAGCUUGAUUAAAUUUAAAAGAAGUAAUAUUAAUAUUUGUAUAUGUAUUUACUGGAAUAAGUAUCGUUCUUAUUUCUUGAGGAGUUAAAUUUUUUCAACUUAGUCAAAUAUAUACAAAGAAAUAUUAAUAUAGUAUUAGAUUAGAUAGAUCGUUGAAAUAUUUUCAUAAUAAACUUAUUCCAUGAUACAAAUGUUGCUAGUAUUUUCUAAAAAACACUAGUCAAUUUUAAAAGAGUUUGACCAACAUGAAUACCAUUGCAACACUUAUCUUGGAACAAAGGGAGUAUAACACAAUUAGUCUAGUGACUUCUACUAUUCCAUAUGUUGCAACACUUAUUUGACCAGAACGGAUGAUUUGUAAGUUUAUGGACCUCGAUGAACAGCUGCAGGAUCUAAAAGAGUGAUUAAAAAUCUAGGAACUAGAAUAACAUAGACAAGAAUUUGAAUACUCGGUUUAUAAGUUCAAGGAUAGGGAUGACAUAGCCGAAUAAGUUUAAGGACUGCCAGUGCACUUUACUCUAUUUUAUAUAUUUGAAUUUUUACAAAAUGUGUAUUUACUUUUGAUGAUGUCGAGAGAGUACUUGGCCUUGUUUAGUUCUCAAAAUUUUUUGCAAAAUUUUUCAUAUUCUCCAUCACAUCAAAUCUUACGAUAUAUGCAUGGAGCACUAAAUAUAAAUAAAAUAAAUAACUAAUUACAUAGUUUAUCUGUAAUUUACGAGACGAAUCUUUUAAGCCUAGUUAGUCCAUAAUUGGACAAUAUUUGUCAAAUACAAACGAAAGUGCUAGUGUUCAUGUUUUGCAAAAUUUUUUGGAAGUGUUCACCCAAAAAACUCAAAACUUUUCAAGAUUUCCCAUCACAUCGAAUCUUGCGACACAUAUAUAUAGCAUUAUAUAUAGAUAAAAAUAAAACUAAUUAUACAGUUUGUCUCGCGAGAUGUAUUUUUUAAGCCUAGUUACUUUAUAAUUGAACAAUAUUUGUCAAAUAAAAACGAAAGUACUACCGUGUCGUUUUUCCAAAAUUUUUUGGAACAAGGCCUACUAUUUUUGGGCCUUGUUUAGUUCCCAAAAAACUUUGCAAAAUUUUUCAGAUUCUUCGUCACAUCGAAUCUUUAGACGCAUGCAUGGAGUAUUAAUAUAGACAAAAAUAAAAAUUAAUUACACGGUUUGGUUGGAAUUGAUGAGAUGAAACUUUUAAGUCUAGUUAGUUUGUAAUUAAAUAAUAUUUGUCAAAUACAAACGAAACGUGGAACAAAUUUUUUUGAAGCCUACUCGCAUGGCAUGGUGCGCACAAGCGGCAGCUCCGGUCGGUCGUCUGGAAGAGGAAGGGAUUCUUUCUCGCCACUCGCCAGCGAAGACGACAAAAUUCACUUUCUCGGUUUCCCCCAACAGGCCAACACUACCGUCUUCUUCCUCGCACUGCCUUCGCCUCGGAGCGCUCCGCCUCUGCCAUCUCCGUGCUCCGAGCCCACUUCGACUCUUCGAGCUCCACUUGCUCGAUCUGUUUCAUCUUUGAUUUGAGUCCGUCACCCCCAUUCUAGAUUCUAGCUCCUCUCCGCCCCGUCUUAACCGUCUAGAUCUAGGCGGGGUGGUUGCAGUCCAAGUUCCGAUGUCAGAAUGGGCAGAAUCCUGUGUCUCGGAGGUCGGAUGCCGCACACUGGUGGAGCUUGGGUACAUGCCGGAGAAGCCACUGAUUGGAUGGCGCCCGGCGUUCGGCGACGCGGUCCCGAAGCCGCGCACCGGUGAGACCGUGGUGUUCGGGCCCUUCUUCGAGCGUGGGUUCUCGGUGCCGACGCACGCGUUCUUCCGCCGCCUCCUCGAUUACUACGGCUUGCAGCUUCACCACUUGAACCCUAACGGUAUACUCCACAUCUCAAUCUUCAUCACUUUGUGCGAGGCGUAUCUGGGAAUCGAGCCGCACUUGGGUAUGUGGAAAUGGCUAUAUACCAUGUCAAGCCAGAAAGCAAGCUAGACCCCAACAACACCAUUGGAGCAGCCGGCAUCCAGCUUCGUUCGAGGACGCCAUACGUCUCCAUCCCACAGCGGACAUCCAACAAGGGAUGGCACUCGAGGUGGUUUUACUGCCGGAACGAGAAGCCAUCACUGCCUGACUUCGUUGCUGACCAUUGCCCUGUUAAGCUGCCGUCGUGGAGUAACCCCCCAUCUGCCGACGAGAUGGCCGAGGUGGAGAAGAUCAUCCCACACCUCAAUGAAUUGAUCCAAGAUGGCCUCAACGGAGCCGAUUUGAUCACUACCUUCUUGUCUCGUUGGAUCCAACCGAUCAAGAAGAGGUGCCAUCGGAUGUCUGAAUUCACUGGUAAUUCUGACCCCACACGGGAGUCGCCGGUGAAGUUGCCUGAAGAUGAAAUUUUUUCGCGGGCGGCCCAUCUUGUGUCAACUGAUACUAAGUUUCGCACCCAUGGCAAGCCAGUGAAACAUGUCAGCGUUCCUUUUCUCUUGAGUUUUUCUUAGAACUUAUAGAUAAGCUGUUGAAUCAUUAAUGCUAAUUGAUUGAUGCUCUUGUUACAGGACCUGAGCAAGUAUCUUUCAGUGACUCUAGAGGAAGACAAAGAGGGAGCCAUGCCACAGACGACAGACACCGCCACCCUUGUCAGCCAGUCCCCUCUGAAGAACCUGAGGAUCCCUGGUGCUGAAUCCUCUGGGGAGUCUCUCCAACAGAAGGCCAAGGAAGUUGUGGCCUGCUCCUGUAAUGAGCUGGCACAACAGAAAGAGUCCGACAACAGUGCGCCAAUUGCCCAGCCGCUGUCUGAUGAUGAGGAUACGGAGACCCUGUCCCACAGGAAGAAGAGAAAGUUCACUGAGGCCCUCGCUUGCUCCACUGUAGACAUCAGGUCUGUGCAUGUGUCGCUUCCACGGGCAGUCUCUCUGCCACUUCAAUCGGAGCCAUGUCCACUCCGAUCGUCGUCGGCACGUCAUGCUUCUCCUACCACUACAACGCUGCCCACCUUGACUACUCCCAAGUCAAUUAAGAUGACACAUGUGCCUUGCCGACCUCUCCCGCAUGACAACCUGGGGUCUAGUCAGCAGUCGGAUGGGUUCGCUACGGACUCUGUUGAAGUGGAGGGAGAGGUACAUGGGAAGAAGGCCGAGGAGGAGCCAGGGAUGCUCUAUGUCCAGAUGAAGGAUGCAGAGAGCAAGCUGCUAUGGGAGAUCGAUGAUGAGAAGGAGCACACCGAGGUCGAGUAGGAGAAGGUCAAGGAGACUGCAACGUCCUUCAUGACUAGACUGCCAUAGAUCACUCUCAGCCUCAAGCGUGCCUCCGAGAUGAUAGUUAAAUUGAAGCAGGAGAACAGGGAUCUAGAAGUUAAAUUGAAGCAGGAAAACAAGGAUCUGAAAGUUAAUUGAAGCAGGAGAACAGGGAGGUGGAAGUCAAAUUGAAGCAGGAGAACAAGGAGCUGGAAGUCAAAUUGAAGCAGGAGAACAAGGAGCUAGAAGUUAAACUGAAGCAGGAGAACGAGGUUGCUUGAGGUAAAUUUCUUCUGACCCCCGGAGUUGUUUUUAAUUUGGAUGUGUUAUGGGCUGUAACCUGGUCCGAUUCUUGUAGCUUUUGAGAAGAAGGCCAGCGAUCUGUCUAAGGAGCUUGACAUUGUGCGCACGGAUCGCGAUUCCCUCAGCCGGGGGUUCCAGGAUGCCAGGAAGAAAGCUACUGGUAAGCCCGUGACUUAUUCUCAGCACAUUGCUUUAUUUAUCAUCUUGACCGAUGGAGCAUGAGCUAUUUGUGCGAUUACAGACUUGUGUGAUGCCUUUGAUGCUAUUCAUGCUGCCUGUGACAUAUUCUCGAUUGACAAUCCGAGCCCGGGACGGUGUUGAGGCUGUCACCGAGUGACUGGGUAACUUCCCUGAGCUGAUUGAAGAAGCAGCAGCAGCUGAUGGGGCACCGGCGCUUCAGGAUGCAGUUAGUGCUUGCAACAGGAGGUUGACGGCCUUAUGGUGCAGUUGCACUUGCAGGCAAGGCCGGAAGGCAGAACUUUUGGAAACUAGGUCUGUCUGUCUUAAUCGUGGUCAAUGCACCAGUAAUAUAUUCUCUGUUGAAGUACUCAGGAGAUAGAGUAAGAGUUAAUUAUGUAUAUAUUUAGGGCCUUUUUGGAUCCACUAGUUAAUAGCUCAUAGCUAAUAUUAGCUACAAACUAUUAGCUGGUUUGGCCCAAGUAGUAAGAUAGCUGUCAGUUGGGUAGGUAGACUAUUAGCUGGACCUGUUUGAUCCUAAAGAGCUGAUUAUUAGUUGCUAACUAAUAUAUGAAUGCAAACAUGCGUUUUCAUGUUUCAGUUCUUUGAUCUUCAGUUUUUUUCUAUGUUUUUAUGGACUUUGUGCAAUUGUGCUUCCUGUGUUUUUAUGGACUUUGUGCGUACCCUAAAUUCUUGGGACCGUCUUCAGAUAGUCUCACUGUAAUCUCGAAGUACUGUCAUGGAUCUAAGGAUGGUGAAGGUCCCCGAGUGACCUGUUAUAGUUGCGACUUGGGAGCAAGCAAAGGAAGCUGAGUGCCAAUAGGGUUAACAAUGGGGGCCAUAAUUCGUUCGCUUGUCUUAUAAGCCGUACUUUUCUGUCAGCCAACAAUAUUUUUCUUUCACGAUAAAUCAGCGAACAGUACUUUCAGCCAUAGUUUUUCAGACCAGCGAAUCCAUAUUUUGUUUUAGAUUCAUGCAAUACGGUUUUUUUUACAUAUAUCAUAUAAACAUCAAUUUUAGACUAAACAUUUUUGGAAACCGUCCUAAUGACUUUUCUAUUGAUAUUUUUGUCAACAAGAACAUAAAAAACAAACAAUGGUGUUCACAUACUGCGUAUUUCUUAUUUGACAUCCAGAUAUGUCAGCUCACUUCCUCAAUUCAAAAAAAAAUAAAGAAUACGUGCAAAAACAAACCUGUUACAUAUACUUCGAACCAAUUAAUUAAUUUAGUACUGAAAGACAGGGAGCCAGAAGGGAAUGUACAUUAUACUGAGGCCCUGUUUAGAUACAGCCAAAAACCCAAAACUUUACAAGAUUUCUCAUCACAUCGAAUCUUGCGGCACAUGCAUUGAACAUUAAAUAUAGAUAAAAAUAAAAACUAAUUACAUAGUUUGUCUGUAAAUCGCGAGACGAAUCUUUUAAGCCUAGUUACUCAAUGAUUGGACAAUGUCUGUCAAAUAAAAACGAAAAUGCUACAGUGUCAAAAUCCAAAAAAAUUUUGGAUCUAAACAAGCCCUGAGUACAAAGCGACCCAAACAACUACUCCCUUCAGGUUACUUGGACAUCAGGUUGUUUCCUUGAAACGAACUUGGACCUGAACCUUGCAGAGUUGCAGCUUCCACAAACCAGCUGUUUAUUUAUUGGCCUUGUUUAUUAGUGAAAACUUUUAAGUUUGGCUACUGUAGUAUUUUCAUUUAUAUUUAAUAAUUAUUGUCCAAUCAUAAACUAACUAGGGUUAAAGGAUUGUCUUGCAAAUUAGUUAUUUUUUAUCUAUAUUUAAUGUUCCAUAUAUGCGUCUAAAAUUUCAAUGUGACGAAAAAUUUAAAUUUUUUUUGGGAUUUUAAGUGAACUAAACAAGGCCUGGCAUGGACUGUCUUCAGGAUUUGGCAUGGACAAUUAUUAUUUAUUAAGCUUAAAUAAUAAUUACUAAGGUCUUCACAAAAUUCGUUGGGGGUCGAUGGACUCCGAUGAACCCUCUAGAUUCGUCCCUGCCCACUUGUCUCUCUUACAGAGUUUUUUUUGAUUCUUUUGUCUAAGUUGGCUGUAAGUUUACGGUCCACUUCUCUCUUCUCAACCUCAAUAUUUAGGCAGUUUACAACCUCUUAUUACACUUGCUCUAAGGUGUCUUUUGAUUCCAUGAUAGGCUCAAAUGGAUUACAAGGCAUGCUUGCUGGCCUCACUUGUGUCCAACCCACUUCUCCGAUUCCACCCUAAGCCUGUUUGCUUGACCUUAUCUAUCAAAUCUGUCAGUUAUUCAGCAAUGUCAACAAUAUUUUUCUCUUAUAACAAAUCAGCGAACAAUACUUUUUGUCAUGGCUUCUCAGCCAAACAAACAGGUUGUAUAGCAACAGGUAUUUUUAAAGGGGCCGAACGAGACAAGCUAGGUGGGCCAACACGGCACAACUACGGCGCAGUGCCAGAUAGUGUUCUUGAAAGAUCAACACACGGGUUCCUUCAAACUCAUCUACGCGGUUAACUGCCCCACAAAACAAUUGCAGAGAUGGUGUAUGCACCGCAUCCUGAUGGAGGUGGUUGGUGCUUAGUAUUCGCGGACAUACGUGUACAAGCUCUUGAAUUUCAGUUUCUACGCCACAAAAGGGGUAUACAAAUAUCUAAUUUGAGCAUCCUAUGGGAUAGAAUCAACAUACUGUUGCGGCCACCAUGGAGUGGAGCAUCACAGACCACACAAGAUGCCCUAGCAACAAUGAAGACAGGAGGAACUCUGCUUCUGUUAGUGAACACAGUGGUUGCAGGAACCAGAUGUUUUCGGAUCAAGGUUAUGCCUGUCAGUGCAACAAUGGAUACCAGGGAAAUCCUUAUAUCUAUGGUGGCUGCACAAAUGAUGAAGGUGAUUUCAUAUAUGCAAAUCACCUUCCCUAGUUUUUUCAUUUUUCUUUUACCUAUCACAAAAUUGCUUAGUUCUUUUAAAUUCGUCUUAUACGAGUAUCUACACUUAUGUAUGUUAAUGUAGAUCAUUUCAAUGACUUCAUUUUUGCAUGGAAUUAUAAUCCAAAACCAGUAAAGGAGAAUUUUUCUCACCGGUGUGGGAACAUUACUGUCCCAUUUCCUUUGGCUAGGUUGUUCUGCAAGGAGACUGGCCUUGUUUAGAUGUGAAAAUUUUUUGGAUUUCGCUACUGUAGCACUUUCGUUUGUUUGUGGCAAAUAUUGUCUAAUCAUAGACUAACUAGGGUUAAAAGAUUCGUCUCGCGAUUUACAGGCAAAUUGUGUAAUUAGUUUUUAUUUUUAUCUAUGUUUAAUGCUUCAUGCAUAUGCCGUAGGAUUCGAUGUGACGGGAAAUCUUGAAAAAUUUUUGGUUUUUGGGGUGAACUAAACAAGGCGUUAGUUCGCAAAAUUUUGAAUUUAGCUACUGUAGUACUUUCGACUUUAUUUGAUAAUUAUUAUUCAAUUAUAGACUAAAUAGGCUCAAAAGAUUCGUCUCGCAAAUUACAAGUAAACUGUGUAAUUAGUUACCUUUUUUAUCUAUAUUUAAUGCUUCAUGCAUGAACCGCAAUAUUCGAUGUGACGAGGAAUCUUAAAAAAUUUUGAAAACUAAACCAGGCCUUUUCCAGCUCAACUGCUCAGACCUGGCACAUACUGUCCUUCGAUACAAUGACCAACUUCAUGUGACAUACAUAGAUGUGAGCGAGGGCCUUGUCACUUGUCAGCAUGAAAUUCAACUUAAGUUGGGAAUAUUUGACUACGGAACUGGAUAUGCUGAUAUAUUAUAAUGAACCCGGCCUUUGUGGAUCCUUUGGAAUCAGCCUCUGCAAAGUGGGCGGUUGCUAAUCUAACCUGCCAACCGGCAAGCAUCUGGACAUGCUUGUGUGAGUAACCAUUGCACUUGCCUCAAUGUUAUGAGCUCCUCAGAAGGAUAUGUUGGUUACAGAUGCAAAUGCUCACCUGGGCUUUGUUUAGAUGCGAAAAGGUUUUGGAUUUCGCUACUGUAGCAUUUUCGUCUGUUUGUGGCAAAUAUUGUUUAAUUAUGGACUAAGAGCAUCUCCAACCAUUAUGCAUUUGAAGUUAUGCAUUUUAGCCAAAUUGCAAACCCCCAAAUGAAAAUGGCAAGGCUAAAAUCGAGUGAUCUCCAACCGUUAUGCAAAAUGCCAAGUCCAUCAUCUUUUUUCCCUAGAAAUUUUGUUUCGCGGCACUCCUUCCCGCGCGGCCAAUCAAUCCCACGCCAAACAGCCCGCCGUCGUCUCCCGUUCACCAAUUCCCGCGCCAAACAGCCGUGCAGUACCGAUCGUGAGCCGCGCCAAAACCCUAGAUAUCACAUUGAUGAAGAAGGCGUACCUGGCCGGCGUUGAUGAGGAAGGCGUCGUAGAUUCGUCCUAUCGCGCGCUGCGUCGUCCUAUUGUGCGCUGCUUCGUCCAAACGCGCGCGCGAAGCUGGCGAAGGAGGACGCGUGAUGCUUCUCCUAUCACGCGAAGUGGUGGCGGCGCGAAGGGAAACCGUGCGAAGGGAAGAAAAAAGCCCGCGAGGUGGAACCGAGAAUCCCGUGAUCUCUAUUUGCAUAGCCGGACUCCUUUGGCAUAUAUGCCAAGUUUCCCCCUCCAAAUGCAUAGCUAUGUAAAAUGCAAAGUCCAAAUGCAUAACGAUUGGAGGGGUUUUUUUUGGAGUUUUAUGCAUUUUGGUAAAUGCCAAGUCCAUUUGCAUAAUGGUUGGAGUUGCUCUAAAUAGGAUCAAAAGAUUUGUCUCGCGAUUUACAGAUAAACUGUGCAAUUAGUUUUUAUUUUUGUCUAUAUUUAAUGCUUCAUGCAUGUGCCGAAAGAUUAGAUGUGACGGAAAAUCUUGAAAACUUUUUGGUUUUCAGGGUGAACUAAACAAGACCCUAGUUUUGACGGAAAUCCGUACAUCCAAGAUGGAUGUUAUGGUACUCCCUCCCACUCCUCCCCCUUUGACCUAUUAUGUAUAGCCAUAAUCUUUUUGCGUCGUUUCGUAAAAAAAUUACAUAUUCUUUUUGCAAGUUUUGUGUCACCUUAUAUGUGAAUAUGGCUACAGAUAUUGACGAGUGUCAGCGGUCGCCAGGCAUUUGCAGAGGUGUAGUUUGUCAUAAUACCAUAGGAAACUUCACUUGCACUGAGUGCCCUCGCAACACGAUUUAUGAUAUAGGUGCAAAUCAGUGCACACCAGCAUCAAAGAAAAACUUCAUGUUAGGUGAGUGCCAUAUUUGUCAAUUCUGCACCAGACAAUGUGGUCUUAAUAUAUACAAACUGAGGGGCAUUAUUCUUGUAGGUAUCUAAUUGGUCUGAGCUCUGGUCUUGGCAUUCUUCUUCUAGGCUUAAGUGCAGUAGUGCUCAUCAGAAGAUGGAAAAGAAAUUCCCAGAAGAAACUAAGAAGGAAGUAUUUCCGAAAGAACCAAGGCCUUCUCUUAGAGCAACUAAUAUCAUCAGACGAAAAUGCAAGUGAGAAGACAAAGAUUUUCUCCUUAGAAGAGCUUGAAAAGGCAACAGAUAACUUUGAUACCACCCGUAUUCUUGGUCAUGGAGGGCAUGGCACAGUAUACAAAGGCAUCUUAUCUGAUCAACAUGUGGUGGCUAUCAAGAAGUCCAAGCUUACCAAGGAUGCUGAAAUCAAUGAUUUCAUCAACGAGGUUGCAAUCCUCUCUCAGAUAAAUCACAGAAACAUUGUGAAACUCUUUGGGUGUUGUCUUGAAAGUGAGGUCCCUUUACUAGUAUACGAUUUGAUUCCAAAUGGUUCUUUGUUUGAAACACUUCAUGCUGAUUCUUCAAGUAGUGGAUCCUCGUUACCAUGGAAUGAUUGUCUAAGGAUUGCCACAGAAGCUGCAGGAGCCCUGUACUAUCUCCACUCUGCUGCCUCGGUAUCAAUCUUCCACCGCGAUGUGAAGUCCUCUAACAUACUCCUAGAUGGAAACUAUACUGCUAAAGUUUCCGAUUUUGGUGCUUCAAGAUCUGCCCCAAUUGAUCAAACCCAUGUCAGUACCAAUGUGCAGGGCACCUUUGGUUACUUGGAUCCAGAAUAUUACCAAACUGGGAAGCUAAUUGAGAAGAGUGAUGUUUACAGCUUCGGCGUGGUACUUCUGGAGCUUCUCCUGAGAAAACAGACAGUUUUUACAAAUGAGUCAGGCAUGAAGCACAACUUGUGCAACUAUUUCCUUUCAGGGAUCAAGACGAAGUCGGUUACAGAGAUAACAGCUGCUGAAGUUCUUGAGGAAGCCACAGUGGAACAGAUUGAAAAGGUUGCAUCCCUUGCAGAGAUGUGCUUGAGGCUGAGAGGUGAUGAAAGGCCUACAAUGAAGCAAGUAGAAAUGACACUACAGCUUUUACUAGCAGAAAGCAUGAACUCAUCUCAUGUUCACACAGGAAACGUGAAAAACAUUCAGCCUUUGCUGACAAGAAGAGUUGUAGCUUCUCGCAGGCAAAUCCUGUAUUGAACCGAAGGACAGAGGUAAUGUAGCACCUCAGGGCAGCUACAACUUCUUUAGCUUGGAGCGAGAGUUUUUAUCGUCAGCUAGUCUACCACGUUAGAUGAAUUAUUGGUAUUUAUUACUGGCUACUGUUGAAAUGGUUGGUUUUGCUUAUCCCUAUCAAAUCUUAUGUGCACAGAUAUAUGACUACAGUAAGUGCUUCAAUCUAAGAAGCUGAGCUGAAUGUUGUCUGGAACCUGUAAACGCUGAGCAUCGCAAUAUGCUGUUGCGUCUUUGUCUGAAGAAACCUAAAACUAUUUCUUUUUUUGGGUCCUAUUUGCUAUUCUUAUGGAUUGACGCAGUGUCUCUGGAACUCUGAGUACAUUUGUUAUUUUAAAUUAUGAAUACUACAUUUCUAGAAAUAGCACCAUUUUGAAGAAUGGACUUAUUUGGAACAGGAUGUAAUUAGUUAGUUGCCUUCAACUUAGGUUGAUCCACUUGUACAACUAGAAGCUACUUGAAAACCUGCACUGCCUAAUUUCUAACAGGCAAUCGUCAGUUCUCGCUGUCAGUUGUAGACCGGCUUCAUUUUACUGGCUAUAAUAUGCCUCAACCAGUUUCCGGAUUGAAGUAUUCUCCAAUCGGAAGCAGUAGUUGUUUAUUCUAAGACGAAACUAGCCCCAGAAAUCAAAGAGAGAGGAAAACAAAAAAAAGAACGCCAGCAAGCAUUUCUGCUGGCUGUGAGGCAUUUCAACAAACACUUUGGAAGCACUCACCUACAAUUUCCGAGCUCAGACAUCAGUCAUCUCCAAUUGUGAUGCCCCAUGGCGCGGCGCAUCACCACCAUCACCGAGCGGCUGGUCCUGAAGCGACAACUGCAACAACGGGAGUGGCUGACAUCGAACGGCGCGGGAUUUAGGGAAGGAGGGAGUAGAGGGUAGAACAAUGUUCACCUGAAUUCAAUUUGAUAACAAUACACUCGUAUUUUUUUUAGAUUUAUUAUUUAAAAAUCUAAUAGUGAUAUUAGGCAACGCGUCAAUCAAUCUCUUUAAUGUUCAUGGGAAUAGAGUGUCGCAAGUCACUUUUCCAAAUCGGUUGGUUUUUGUCACUUCUUUUUAUAAAUAGAAAACAGAAAUCAAAAUUCAGGUGCUAUAUUCAUGUGCCAAAGCUCAAUUUACAGAUUUGUUCUGUUAUGUAAAGGUAGGGAAGUCACUGUGUUGAUGCCAAACAAGGUUUUACAGAAACCGAUACUGCCUAUCAAAGAAACCAAUAUCGAAGUCACAGAGCAUCAGCAAUAUACAACUGGAGAAGUAAACCGAAGUUGCUAUAAAUCUCUUUUAAAAAAUCGGAGUUGCUAAAGAGAAAUAUGACGUAUCACAUCCAUCAGCACUAGUACAUUUGUGUGGGCACUAGUACAUUUGUGUGGCAAGUAAUAAAAAAAAAAGUAAGUACAAAAAGAAAUAUGACGUAUCUAACAUGACAGCGUCAGAUGAUAUCAACUACUCUUGCACGCACUUCCCAUCGGCUUGCAAAACUUAGCAUCCAGAACACAUGUCCCAACCAUGGUACUGACAUAAUCACCAAGAAUGUGCUGAUCCAAUUGAACACUGUCCAUUACACAGAUUUCCGUCUGUAAAAAUGGGUCCCCUUCCAUCUGACUAUUAGCACUACAUAAAAAGGACAACUAAAUGUCACUUCCUCUAGUUAGCAAUCAAUUUGCAAGGUGGCAACUCAAAAGUCAGCAAGUCAGGUACCUGAUCCAGGAAAAGGACACAAACAUGAAAAAAUCUACCUGCUUAAAAAUUAAGGAUUGCAAGACAGCCCUAGGCCGCUAGACGGCAGUGUGUGCACAUUGUGUUCCUCUUUGGGGGUAUAAUGAUUGCUCAGAGCCCAUUUAUGCAUCCAUUUACUUCCGAGGCAAUCCAUGUACACAUGAUAAUGACUAGAACCCAUGACAAAGUCUCGCUAGGAUCUAAUCAAAAUAACAUGACCAGCCACCAAUGUACCUAGCAAUUGUCAAUGAAAUAUAAAUAGAUAAUAAACAGCAUGGUACCGAUUCUACAAACACAUCAAGUGGAACCUGUCAUUCAUUGAAAACACAGCAAAGGAUGUCAAUAAUGGAAACCAUAGGGGAGAAAUUCAUCGGCACAAACAACAACAGCUGGGAAAUAGUUUUUCCUAUGAAAGACAAGCUAUAUACAAUAUAUUGUUCCAAAUUGUAAGUCGCUCUGGCUCUUCUACGUACAUAGGUGCAUAGCCAUAGCAAUCUACUUAGAAAAGCCAGAACGACUUACAAUUUGGAAUGGAGGGAGUACUAGCAACCUAGGGAACCAAAGCGCAAACAUAGAAUUAUAGAAACUAAAAUCCCACAGAUGCUCAAGCUAAAAUGAAAUAGUUUGUAUAGUUCAACCUGGCAACAGCACUGUAUUACUAUGAUUAAAACAAGUUCACAAACCAUGUUCAUACCUCAAGACAUUAGCAGAAUCAUAAUUGUAGUAUCAUGAGUCCUAAUUCCAGCCGUGAUUAACUAGUACCAAUCAAAAACAUCCCCAAGAUCAUCAUCAUCACCACCAUUUCCAAGAUCAUGCUCUUCUUGCACAUCAUCCAUCUGUCCGCCGUGCUCUUCGUUCGACCAAUUUGAACUAUUUUCCUCCUCGUUGAAAUCAUCCAGUACAUUCUAGAAACGAAGAAAGUAAGUUAUAUAUCUAAUUAGAUAAACUUAACAUAAUGUAUGUAUGUUCAAGAAAAACCUCAUUUCCAGGGCCUCUUUCACUUGAUGUGCCAUCUUGUUUUUGUGCAUUGUUAAUCUCUGGCAGCACAACAUCUUCUAUGUUGAGCUGCUUAAUUACCUUUUUGAAAUACAAAUUAUCUGCAGAGAAAAGUGAAACUGGUAAAUGACAAGCACUAAGCUAGAUGAAAGAUUAGAAAAGAAUGCAGGUUGACCCCACUAAUUAAGCGAUAUCUCACCUCCUGAGCGAUGAAAUAUAGCAUCAUGGACUAGCAAUGGAUUUUUUUUCUCCUCAGAUUUAAAUUUUUGCCGCACCUGAUGGCGAGUCUUAUCAGGGAGUAAUUGUUGUAUCAUUGCAAAAUCGCUACCAAAUUGUCGAAUACCCUGGUCCAAAAUUAAUACAAUAACAUCUUAGCAGAAGAUCUAAGGUCAUAUGAAAUUACAUAUAGCAUUCCAAGCGCUUAAUUUCUAAUGAAAAAUAAACCUCGUAAAACAAGUCAGUAUCUGAUUUUGACCAUUUUCCUCGGGCUGGUUUGUUCAUGUAGGAUUGGUAGUUCAAUUUUGUUGUAUUUUGUACAUGGUUCUCUGUUCCAUCAUUGUCAAAGAACCUAGCUUCCUCAUCUCUGUAGUCCAAAUCAUCCAUAUCUUCAAGUCCAAAGCUUCUGUGCAUAAGAUAACAAUAUUAAUGAAAGAAUCGAAUAAACGCAAAUAAAAAAUUGAAACUAUAGUACUCAAUUUGAACCUUUAAAUUUUGAUCAAGGAUGUUUUAGAUAUUUUAAUCUUCAACUUAAAUUCAGAUAAACCAAUCAGCCAUUUAUAAAAAUCAUGGCUUUUAAGCUGCAUUUCCAGGUGCAAAAUAAAAUGUCAGGAAUGGAAUACAUAGCACAAAAAGGCUUUUAUGCUGCCAAAACAAGUAGAAGUUGCUUUUUGAAGGGUCGUGGCUAUUCAACAGGUGUACAUGAAAUAAAAUGUCAGGAAUGGAAUAUAUAGCACUAGCAGAGUGUGACAGAAGCUUUGAUGCAGUCCGAAAAACUGAAAAAUGCAAAUAAUGACUCUGGAACCAGCAAGAGCAACAUCAAUGUCAUCUUGAAAGACUGUCUCCAACAGAGUAGCUAAAGCGUGACCCAAAUGCAUUUUGGGUAGUGCACAGUGUUUUGAGUACCAAAAAACAGUCUCCAACGGCUUAUGCAAAUUGAACACCUAUUUUGGGUACGAUCUGAGCCGGAACGCAAAAAUGCGUCGUCUCUCCCCGCGACGCAAUCUUCUUGCGCCGGUAGUGGUGGGCCCAGGCGUCGGUUGGAAGACGACGACGACGGCGUAGGAUGGAGCUUGUCGUACUAGGAGGCAGCGUGGAGCAGGUCGGCCGUCGCGCCAGUGACGCGGCCCUUGUCCACCUUCUCCAGGCUGUGGUCCUGGACAGCUAGCCUGGCCGCCUCCACCACGAGCUUCGCGCUCGAUGCAAGGUCGCCGCUGCCCCACGCGGAUGGGUGGUGCUGGGAAGAGCGACGGCGGCCGGAGUUCUCGUCACCAUAGUAGGAGGCCAUUUCGGGUUGGGGUGGAUCUGGAGAAAGACAAGCGAACCUCAAGGCAGCAGGCUCGCCUACUUGGUGGUGGGCUGGAGGUUGGCCGUGCGGCGGCAGUGCCUGCGCUCUCCCACACGCUCGCCCCGCGAGCUGGUUGGCGGAGGUCAUCCGCGCGGCGGCAGGCCAAAGCUUCCUGUGCGGACCUCGGUGGGGAGAGAGAUAGGCGCUGGGGGCUGUCCUUUGCGUUCUGCCUGUUGGAAAAUGAACUUUUUCGGUUGCUGACCCAUUUACUGUGCAGAACCUAAAAACUAGAAUGGGUCAUCGUUUUGCCUUCUAGUUGUUGGAGUCAGUCUUAUACUCACUAUAUCUAGAUGCAAAGCCAAAAUUAUGAAUCUAGAAAAGCCAAAACAUCUUAUAAUUUGGAAUGGAGGGAGUAUGAAACACCAAAAUAUCCCCUUUGAAACAUAAAUAUCUAAACAUGCUAGCAAAAAUAAUUUUGCUAGAUGACAUAUCUGGAUGGAAAAUUGGAAAGUAGGGAGUGGUACACUGGUCCAAUAUGUUCAUUUAUGCCCACCCAAAUGCGCUAAAUCUACUUUGGUUAGAUGAUAUCAUACAUAGAGAAAUAAAAGAAAGAAGAAGUAUACCUUGAAUUAGAGGAUGGCCCAGAUGGAAUCUCUUUUGGCUGAAGACGUCAAGAAAAUCAUGAGAAUUAGCCAAAAAAAAAAACAAAUAUAACAAUAAAAAUUGCCACAAAACUCACAUUAACACGUUCUCUAGCUUCUUGUAACAACCUGAGAUGUGCUGCACUUAGCUUCAUGGGAUCUAUCUCCUCACUUUCCAGUAAAGUCUUAAUCUCUAAAAAAAAACCCAAUAUACAAGAGUCAAAACUCACAUUAUACAAAAAUGAAGCUCUUUUUUUAGCCACCAACCUUUUGGUGUCCUCUGACGAAUUCUGUGGGUCAGCUUCUUCUUCUCAGGCUUCGCUGCCAAUUCAUCCUUCAAGGUUCUUUUGCGGCCCCGUGAAGACACCUUGCUUUUAUUUUUUUGAACUUUCUGCUGUUGUGACUCUUCUACACCAUCCCUUGACUUUUUCCUAGCCUUACGCUUAUUACCAGUAGUGUAAUCAUCACCACUAUCAUUAUCUUCUUCAGCUAAUGAAGGUUCAACACAGUCUUCAUCAAAACAGUCAUCAACAGUGUGAUUAGGUGUCCCAACUUUUUGCAACUUUUUCCUGCAACGUAGUUUCAUAGAUGAUGCUAUUUCUCCAACAUCCGAAUUUGGUUGCUGUUCAACAGUAUGAUCUAGUGGCUCCCCCUCGUGGUCCUGAUCAUUUGAAUAUUGAUCCUCGGUAACAGAAUGCUAAAAGAAGAAAAAAGAGAGUAAUGAGAAACCUUGUAGUAGCCAUGUAAAUAUAGAUCAUUACAUCUUCUAAGCAGAAAUAUACUGACCUUUUCAGUCAUCUGCUGAGAUGAGUUACUUAAAUUUUCAUCAGUCAAUUUGUCACUACAGGAAUUGCCGAUGUUACCCAUCUCAGAAUUGGUAUCUGUAGGAGUAGCUACCCCAGAAGCAUCCGAUAGAUAAAAAGAUACAGAUUUUGAUUUUCCCUUUUCUCUUCCUACAGUAGGUUGAGAUUUAAAAGUGAAUACAGCUGUAAUGAAUAUUUUUGCUCUUUAUGAGAAUACAGUUCCGAGGAUAUUACCCAAUGAAAGGCGAACUAUUAACCAUGAUAACAAAAUUAUUUCUGUACAUCCCAAUAUGAAUAAGGGCUAUGCAGAUAAUAUCACUCAACUCGAAAAAGCUUCAACUGAUAGUAAAGGAACUUGUGAUACUUUACCUCUUGGUUCCUUAGCUAGAUUAAGCAAACUACGAAGGAAGAACAAAAUUAACUGAAAAUUGAUCCUUAUAAAUAUAAUUACAUUUUGAUGUAGCUAAGCACAAUUGAUAUUAUAGUGUUACAACAUGAGGAAUUAUGUAUAGAGGUACAGGGAGAACCCACAGACCGCACCAGAUUAAACCAGUGCUGCCCAAGACAGACAUGUACUCCCUCUGUCCUAAAAAGAGUGUCGUUUUUUGCUUCUAAACAUCUUGUUUGACCAUCCGUCUUAUUCAAACUUUUUGUCUAAAUAUCACCUAUUUUGCUAUGACUUAUAUUAUCAUCAAGUAUACUUUAAUUUAUUUAUUUUAUAAUUUACAGAAAUUUUUUUGAAUAAGACGAACAGUCAAACAUGAUAUCUGAAAGUAAAAAACAUCACUCUUUUUGGGACGGAGGGAGUAGGUACUAAGCGACACAAUCCCUCCGUGCCACGUAGGCCACCUGUGCGGUACUAGAACCUAGGUCUCAUUGGGUUUGGACCUUUUUUUGUCAUGUCCUGAGAAAUCAAAACACAUAUCUGAUUCUUGGUUAGAAGAAGCACAUGUGUCUCACUGAUCUUACAGAAAGUGGCAAAGGAGAGGAGAGUCCUCUGUGACAUUCAGCUGGUGCCUGGGACUAUGCGAGCUACUCCUAAAGUCUCCCACCUUGGACUCUUAGUCCCUUUCCUGCGUGAGCUAGUCAUAUACAUCUAUGAGUGUAUGACGAUCCUAUGGUAGAUUGAAUCUAUGUGUGGGUAGCAAGGGUCUUUAUGCCCUCUUGGUUAUAUCUUUUUUCCUUAAACUUAAUGAAAUGUUUGAAAAAAAAGAGAUUAAUAAGUGGUCCACUAUGAUAUCUAGUUAAAUAGUUAAGGGGCUAUGCAUACUUAUGGAAAUAUCAGUGAGUAAAAUAAACUUGAUCCUUAAAUAUUCAGGUAGCAAGUGAAGGAAACUAUUAUUUAAAUAAACAGUUAGUUUAACCUCAAAAAACUGUUUGAAAAAAACACUUGUGUCUAAAAACAGCACAGAUACAAAUUAUGGCUUUAAAAAUAGCACUAGUGAUCAUUGACCUAACCAUCUGUGCAUAAACACAAGCCUGCAUGACAGAGCUCAAAGCUCAUACUCAAGUAUUAUUGCAACAAUAAGCACAUAUCUAAGAAAAGUAUCUUCAAUUCCAUUUACUCUAUUGAGAUGUUUCAUCCAUGAAAGUUAGCCCUUAAAUAGUUAAAUAUAAAGAACAACGAGGUAAAAAAACACUUGUGUCUAAAAACAGCACUGAUAAAAAUUAUGGAUCUAAAAAUAGCACUAGUGAUCAUUGAUCUAACCAUCUGUGCAUAAACACAAGCCUGCAUGACAGAGCUCAAAGCUCAUACUCAAGUAUUAUUGCAACAAUAAGCACAUAUCUAAGAAAAGUAUCUUCAAUUCCGUUUACUCUAGUGAGAUGUUUCAUCCAUGAAAAAUAGCCCUCAAAUAGUCAAAUAUAAAGAACAACGAUGGGCCUUUCCCAGCACCAAUCGGGGAACGGCCUCCACCUCCGCCAUCCACGCGCGCACGCACAGCAACUCCUGCCGCGGCGCCGCCCUUGCUUCUCCUGCGGCUCCCUCCACCCCUCCCUGCCCCCGCUUCGGUCGCCGCCCGAGGAGCACACUCCCUUCCGCCUCACAAGCCCACGAGAGACGAGGCCCCUCCCUGCCUCCGCCGCCGCCGCUCCGUCCGUCUGAGGCGGACAAGCCCGCCCCCUCCGGCCGGCCUCUUCCUGCCGUUGUCAGGUCGCGCUCUCCCCCCGCCUCUCCUCCGGUUUGUCCGUUUGUGUUCGACAUCCUUUCCUUCCAGAAGACGCGGUUGGCUGAUUGAUUAAUUCCGUCCUUCCUUAUUAGGAGCACCCGCAGUCGUGGUCCACCCAUAGGAGGGAAGGACGCGCCGCCUCCACGGCCGCCACCGACACCUCCACAGCCUGCUUCGUGGCCGCCCUCCGCCGCCGUUGCGCACGUGGAGCCGGAGGUCGGAGAUCUGCCUCGUUGAGCCAGAGCCGGAGGUCCGAGGUCAGCCUCCCUCUCUCCCCUCUAUGCAUCGCCUCCUACAGUGGUUGAUUCUAUUCCUUGUGCCACUGAUAAGCUCUAAAUAAACCCAGCUAGUUUCCUUUGUAUCCCCAUUGUCGUAGGAGUUUUUUUUUGGGGUUUCGGAAUGGUGCCCCAACUCCAUCUGCCCAUUUUCUGUUAGAUUAUUCUUAUUAUGCACGCAGUGCCGAUCCAUCACCUAUUGAAGUGCUAGUGUAAUUUUUUUGGGUCCACUUAUCAGCGCAGUGCACGCUUGAUUUUACCUGCAUGAAAGGUCAUAAAGAAAACUAUAAAAAAUCAGAGGUGGAGAAAGACAAACUAUGGCCUCGAAACUCAUGGGUGCAUGAUAAUGUCACGUUAUUUAAGUUGCAUGAUAAUGUCAAGUUACUUUAGUGAACACGUCAAAUUCCCUCAAUUUAAGACAUUACUAUAGCUGUCUGCAAAAAGUACAAACGUCCAGGUGUUAGGCAGAGUCUCGUCGCCUGCCUAGCGCCUAUGCAUUUUGUUAUAGUUAUUGAGUAUUUGCUGGCUAGGGCAUCUUGAGAAAAUUGAGAGUUGGGCACGGAUAUAUUACAGAUGAUGCUAAUAUAUGGCUUUCCCUGAGGGUUCCUCGUAAACCAAUCAGGCAUUGCCCCAACUUUCCUGAAUUUUAUUUGUCCGUUCUGCUGUAGCCCUGUAUCCAUUGUUGUCGCUGAGUACUUUUGCUGCGUUUAGUUAGUUAUGUCAUUGCCAGUUGUCCUCGAUCUUGAAUCUGUUCUUACUCACACGUGAUGUUGCACCAUAUUUUCCUUCACCUACUGACUCGGAUCCUUGUAAAUUAUUGGUUCCAUUAAAGGCUCUUUGCAUUGUGGCAUUCAUUUGGUAGUUGUGUAUUUAGUUCAAAUUUAUAUUGUACAUUCUGGUUGAAUACCCCAUCCUAACUCUACAGGCCCUAAGGAUUUUUAUUUUCUUUUUUACUUGUCUGAUUCUAUGUUUGCCCCCGUUGCUGCUUCCUAAACCUGCAAUAUUCCUUUCAGGCUUUCAGUGACACUUUCAAUAUAUCCUGCUGUAGACCACAACGGCCACACAGAUGAUUGAUGAUGAGGCCAACUUCGACAAUAUGCUUGAUGGUGCAGAAGAAGUUCAGGCUACUGCAAAGUUCCGUCCCAACCAACAUCCCAAACCCCAAAAAACAGCUCUGUCUUCCAGAUCUGCAGCGCCUAAUCCUACUGAAGAAACUGGGGAUGGGAAAGUAGGAGCCUUAAAUCAAGUCAAUUCUUCUAAAGAGCUCACCAGCCAAAAAAGGACAUCCUUGACGUGCCCUGGUAGUGAGUCAGUUGAUACUGUUGCUAGUUCUCAAGGUACUCUUGGCACACCGUCGGGAGAUGCAUUGACAGUUCCCUUGGAUCCUCUGGCUGGUGCUUCUGCUGCAGAUAAGAUUUCUCAAGAUGGUGAGCACAAUGAUGAUCCGUCUAAGUUAGCUAUACACCAAGAAAGCUCGGUGGUAUCAGAUAUCAAUGUGUCACCUAACAGUUCAUGUGGCAAGGCUAUUGAUGAUAUAGUUGAAUUUGGGGACAUGUGUGAUGCACAAGUUGAAGAGGAAAGAGUUCCAAAGUUCCAGCCAAAGGUACAGACUGUUAAUAGUAAGCCGUGAGCUGUACUUUCCUGUUUUGUACCUUCCUAUUCUACUGCUAGUGCUAACGGCAUGGCCCAGGGAGUUGGGAUGGCAACCCCCAAUCACGAGCAUGCCUUAUAGGCUCUUGCCUUUUAUAUUGUUGCCUAGUUUAGUGAUUGGCUUAUUGCCUUAGAUAGCUAUGUAAUCAGCUAUAUAUAGUGAACUAUAUUCAGAGGAAUAGCUGCCUCAUUGCAGCCCACAAUACCUGUGUCUUCUUCUGUGUGUGUGUUGAUCGGUGCUCUAACAUUUGGUACCAGAGCCUGAUCUCGUAGUUAGCCAUGUCUUCUAAGUCUCCGGCCAAGACCGAGAAGCCCGAAGGCAGCAACGACGAGAACAAGGUCCGUCCGUCGCGCUCGCCGCGACGUCGCCGUGGGCGCUCCGACAGUCGUCGUCGCUCCGGCUCCAGAGUUGUCGAGCGAAUCGUCGAGCGCUCGUCUGCACAUGUUGCAUGGCCGAUGCUAACCCGGACGAACUACCCGGAGUGGGCACUGGUCAUGGAAGUAAACUUCCAGACGCUGCGUGUAUGGGACGUCGUCCAAGACGGCCUCUCCGACGACGCCGACGACGAUGAGUACCAUGACGACCGCCAGGCGAUGGCCGGUCUCUUACGCUCGGUGCCGUCCGAGCUCUGGAACACGCUGGCUAGGAAGGACACGGUGAAGCAGGCCUGGGAUGCAGUCAAGCAUCUGCGGAUCGGCAAUGAGCGCGCGCGCGACGCCAGCGCGCAGCAGCUCCGCCGGGAGUUCGGCGCUCUCUCCUUCAAGGAGGGCGAAACCGUCAGCGACUUCGGCGUCCGCAUCUCCACACUCGCUGCCAACCUGCGCUCCCUCGGCGACAACAUCCAGGAUGCAGAGGUAGUCAAAAAGCUCCUGCAGGUUGUUCCAGAGAAGCUCACGCAGGCCGCCGUCUCCCUCGAGAUGUUCCUCGACCUCAACAGGGUCUCAAUCGAGGAGGUGAUCGGGCGGCUGAGGGUGUUCGAGGAGCGACUCAAGCCGAAGGAAGUGACGGACUCGCUGGGCCGACUGAUGCUCUGUGAAGAGGACUGGGAGGCGCGCCGCAAAUCACGUCGUGAGCAGGAGAACUCCGGCGGAUCGGGUUCUGGCGCCCGCGGCAAGCAGCGUGGGCGCGGACGCGGACGCGGCGGCUCAGGCACUUCGUCGCGUGAUGGCCGUGAUGGCCAGAACGCGCAGGCGGCCAAACCUGGCGGCAAGAAGCCGCCCCCCGGCUACCACUGCCAGUCCUGCGGCAAAACUGGUCACUGGACCAAUGAGUGCCGCAGCAAGAAGAAGGGCGCGGCGCACGUCGCACAAGCCGAGGAAGAAGAGCACGCGCUGAUGUACAUCACGGCGGAUCCAGAGGUAAUUGCAUCGCCCGUGGCGUGUUGUCCUCACAGGCCUCCAUUGACGCCAGCAGCCCCGGAGUCGGAGACACGGGUUCACAUCACUGAACCCAAGGUCCUCCUUCACCUCAGCGAGGAGCAGGAGGAGGCCGUGCAACCCCAUCGGUGGGUGCUCGACACUGGCGCAACGAACCACAUGACGGGCGCCCGCAAUGUCUUCGCCGAGCUCGACACCAGCAUCUCUGGAACAGUCAAGUUCGGAGACGGCUCGGUGGUGAACAUCCACGGCAAGGGGACGGUACUGUUCGUCUGCAGGACCGGUGAACAUCGUCAGCUGGACGGCGUCUACUACAUCCCUCGCCUCACCACCAACAUCAUCAGUCUCGGCCAGCUGGACGAGACUGGGUUCAAGGUCGACAUCGAGUCAGGCAUACUCCGUCUCUUCGACCCGGACCGGCAGCUGCUGGCGAAGGUGCAUCGAUCGCCAAGUCGAUUGUACUUCCUCGACAUGAAGGUGACUGCCCCUGUGUGCCUCACAGCACGGGUUGGCGACAUGGCGUGGCGAUGGCACGAACGCUACGGUCACCUCAACUUCAAGGCGCUGCGCAAACUGGGACGCGCCGACAUGGUGCGUGGACUGCCCACCAUAGACCAUGUCGAGCAGGUCUGUGAAGACUGCGUCCUGGCAAAAUAGAAGCGGGCGCCGUUCCCCAAGGCCGCAAAGUUCAGGGCUCAGGAGGAGCUCGAGCUGGUCCAUGGAGAUCUCUGCGGCCCCAUCACGCCGGCAACACCGGCUGGGAACGUCUACUUCCUUCUACUCGUCGACGACAUGAGCCGCUUCAUGUGGCUCACCCUCCUGCGUUCCAAGGCGGAUGCCCCAGCAGCCAUCCAGACGUUUCAGGCGCGUGUUGAGCGCGAGACGGGCAAGAAACUGAAGGUACUCCGGACUGACAACGGCGGUGAGUUCACCUCAGUUGAAUUUGGGGAGUACUGUGCAGGAGAGGGGAUUCAGCGUCACCAUUCAGCCCCCUAUACGCCGCAGCAGAAUGGCGUUGUAGAGCGGCGAAACCAGACCGUGGUGGCAAUGCCGAGGAGCAUCCUUCGAGCCCGCGGAGUUCCAGGGUGCUUCUGGGGGGAGGCAGUGCACACUGCUGUCUUCCUGCUCAAUAGAGCACCCACUGCUGCGCUCGAUGGGAAGACCCCGUACCAGGCGUGGUACGGGAAGAAACCCCCUGUACACUUCCUCAAAGUGUUUGGGUGUGUUGCCUACAUCAAGCAAGUGCGCCCACACCUCGCCAAACUGGACGACAGAGGCAUCAAGGUCGUCUUCAUCGGCUACCAGGACGGGACCAAGGCGUACAGGUUCUUUGAUCCCGAGGCCGCACGCGUCUACGUCUCCCGCGACGCCGUCUUCGAUGAAGAUGCGCGGUGGAACUGGGAAGAAAAUCUGGGCGCUGAUGACCGUCUGCCCUUCUCCAUCGAAGAAGACCACGAGGUGCAGAUGCAGCCGAUUGCAGCACCCGUGACGCGGUUGCAACCUGCGUCCACUGCCCCCGCGGCUUCUUCCCCAGCCCCGAGCAUGACCUCGGCGUCAUCCCCUGCUCCAAGCGCGACGCGGGCUUCGCCAUCUCCUUCGACCCCGUCUGCAUCGACGCAGGACAUACGAACUCAGAUUGAGUUCGCGACGCCGCUCGCCAACGACUCCAACCUCGACGCCUAUGAUGAGGGGGAGCCACAUCGGUACCGCACGCUGGACAACGUCCUCGGUACAGAUGCAGUACCAGGGCUGGCACACCGAGACACCGCCGAGGCCGAACUCCACGCAGUUAGCCAUGCUGUGAGCGUGGAGGAGCCCCGCUCGCUGAAGGAGGCCGACGGCGAUCCUAACUGGGUUGCCGCAAUGGAGGAGGAAAUGAAGUCGAUCUGCGACAACCACACUUGGUCGCUGGUCGAGCUUCCACACGGACAUCGGGCCAUCGGCUUGAAGUGGGUCUACAAAGUCAAGCGUGACGAGAACGGCGCCAUUGUCAAGUACAAGGCGCGUCUUGUCGCAAAAGGCUAUGUGCAGCAGCCUGGAGUCGACUUCGAGGAGGUCUAUGCCCCGGUCGCACGGCUGGAGUCAGUGCGGCUGGUCCUCGCGAUCGCAGCACACUUCGGCUGGGGCGUCCAUCACAUGGACGUCAAAUCGGCGUUCUUGAACGGCGAACUCCAGGAGGAGGUAUACGUUCAGCAACCUCCAGGCUUCAUCGACAACGACCACAAGCAUAGAGUGCUCCGCCUCCACAAAGCACUCUAUGGACUGCGACAGGCUCCGCGCGCCUGGAACCAGAAGCUGGACACCGAGCUGCUGCGGCUUGGGUUCAAGCGCUGCGUCGACGAGCAUGGAAUGUACACCCGCGGUCAAGGCACUGGCCGCCUGAUUGUCGGUGUAUAUGUCGACGACCUCAUCAUAACUGGAGGAAACACCAACGCCGUGACAAAGUUCAAGCAGCAGAUGCUGAGCACAUUUAAGAUGAGUGACCUUGGCCUGCUCUCCUACUACCUUGGGCUCGAGGUGACACAGGGAGCAGCUGGUAUCUCACUCCGGCAGACGGCGUACGCCUCAAAGAUACUCGAGAAGGCGGGCUUGAGUGGUUGCAAUGCAAGUGCAACCCCCAUGGAGCCAAGGCUGAAGCUGCUCAAGGAAGGAACUUCGCUGGCUGUUGAUGCAACGGAGUACCGGAGCCUAAUUGGGAGCCUUAGGUACCUGUGCAAUUCCCGGCCAGACCUGGCUUAUCCUGUGGGGUACUUGAGCAGAUUCAUGGAGGCGCCACGGCAAGAGCACCUCACUGCUGUGAAACGUGUGCUCCGGUACGUGGCAGGCACACUGCACUGGGGACUACACUACUACCCUGGGAAGAAGAACUGUGGUGCGCCGGAGUUGCUGGGAUACUCAGACAGCGACUUGGCUGGCGAUGUGAAUGACAGAAAGAGCACUAGUGGGCUCAUCUUCUUCCUUGCAGGGGGACCGGUUGCUUGGCAAUCGGCGAAGCAGAAAGUGGUUGCUCUGUCCUCAUGCGAAGCAGAGUACAUUGCUGCUGCUGCUGCUGCGUGCGAGGCAGUUUGGCUGGCACGAUUGCUAGCUGAGCUCAUCGGAGGAGCUGUCCUUGCACCAAGACUGCUGGUAGACAACAAGUCUGCCAUCGCUUUGAUGAAAAAUCCUGUACACCAUGACCGGAGCAAGCAUAUUGAUGUGAAGUUCCAUUUCAUCCGGGAAUGCUGUGACAGGAAGCUGAUUCAUGUUGAGUUCGUCGGAACAGACUUGCAGCUAGGUGACAUCCUAACAAAAGCACUGGGUCGCAUUCGGUUCCAAGAACUUCGAAGCAUGAUAGGCAUGAAGAAGAUAGAGUAGGUACUCACGGCUUAGGAGGAGAUUGUUAAUAGUAAGCCGUGAGCUGUACUUUCCUGUUUUGUACCUUCCUAUUCUACUGCUAGUGCUAACGGCAUGGCCCAGGGAGUUGGGAAGGCAACCCCCAAUCACGAGCAUGCCUUAUAGGCUCUUGCCUUUUAUAUUGUUGCCUAGUUUAGUGAUUGGCUUAUUGCCUUAGAUAGCUAUGUAAUCAGCUAUAUAUAGUGAACUAUAUUCAGAGGAAUAGCUGCCUCAUUGCAGCCCACAAUACCUGUGUCUUCUUCUGUGUGUGUGUUGAUCGGUGCUCUAACACAGACGAAGCUCCUUAAGGAAACAGCCAAAUCUCGGAAACCAAAAGGUGGAAGCUUCCACUGUAGAUGUGGUUACACAAAAUGGAAAGGGCAAUAAUAUUCAAACAAGAUUCCAUCACGAUCAGGUACAGGAUCCUAAAAGAUAUGAAAGUGUGCAGAUCCCAGAUUCUGAAGGACUAUUGGCAACUGAUAAUAGUAAAAGUUGCAAUGUAGCUAACCUCGUCCUUGAGGAGUCAGUUCAAGAGGAAACAAUAGCUAAGUUUCAUCCUAAAUUGCAACUGGAGCCUGGGAAGACUUCAUCCAAGGUUGCUGUGACUAAAAAUAAUGUUGCUGCUGUUGCUCCAAUGGAUGGAGUUUGUCUCGGCAACAAUGAUGUGUGCAGAGAACCUAAAGAUCAAGAAACCAUCAUCAGUCCAGCUGCUUGGUCACCACAGGUUACAUCUAGGAGGUUUCAUUAAGUUAUUUUAUGGCAUUUCAUAUAAUAGCAAAAAAGUUUAUUUAAUCAACUGCUAUUGAUAUUAUAGGCUGUGCAUGCUACUGUUGAUGUAGACUAUCACAACGAACUAAUUAGUCCUCCUACCGAUGGUACUCAAUCAAUGGUGGGCAAAGUCCCAGGUAACAGCUUUUACUGGUGGAACUUCUUUCUUUUGAUGUGCUGUGUAUUCUAUACUUUAAAUAAAUGAUUGCGGUGUGGGUGACCUCGUCGUUCUUUAUAUUUGACUAUUUGAGGGCUAUUUUUCAUGGAUGAAACAUCUCACUAGAGUAAACGGAAUUGAAGAUACUUUUCUUAGAUAUGUGCUUAUUGUUGCAAUAAUACUUGAGUAUGAGCUUUGAGCUCUGUCAUGCAGGCUUGUGUUUAUGCACAGAUGGUUAGAUCAAUGAUCACUAGUGCUAUUUUUAGAGCCAUAAUUUUUAUCAGUGCUGUUUUUAGACCACUUAUUAAUCUCUCUUUUUUUUCAAACAUUUCAUUAAGUUUAAGGAAAAAAGAUAUAACCAAGAGGGCAUAAAGACCCUUGCUACCCACACAUACAGUGAUUCAAUCUACCAUAGGAUCGUCACACACUCAUAGAUGUAUAUGACUAGCUCACGCAGGAAAGGGACUAAGAGUCCAAGGUGGGAGACUUUAGGAGUAGCUCGCAUAGUCCCAGGCACCAGCUGAAUGUCACAGAGGACUCUCCUCUCCUUUGCCACUUUCUGUACGGUGCGGGCCCGUACUGAUAGCCAAAGUGAGUAUAUUAUUCAAGGCUUACUUUUUCCUCCAAUAUCAUAAUUUGUUCCAUGUUGAAACCAAACUCGCAAAUCUUUCAUUAGUAGCUUCAGUACAAAAUAAUACUCCCUCCAUCCCAAAUUGUAAGUCAUUCCAAGAAUCUUAGAGAGUCAAACUUUUCUAAGUUUGACCAAAUUUAUAUGAUAAAAUAAUUAUUAUUAUGAUACCAACUAAGUAUCAUUAGAUUCUUUCUUAAUUAUAUUUUCAUAAUAUACUCACUUUACGUUACAAAUCUUAGUAUUUUUCUCUAUAAGUUUGGUCAAACAUGAAAAUGCUUUGACUCUCCAAGAUUCUUGGAAUGACUUACAAUUUGGGAUGGAGGGAGUACUAUGUUAUAGGGACUUUGCUUGUACAUGGCUACUGGACAAUCUCAGAGCAAGUCAGCUGCUAAACCCACUAGGGACUGAAGCAAUAUAAGAAAACUGUAACUGAACUAUACUCUUUACACCCCACGGUGCACAGUUAUAUAAUUUGGUAUGGGAAAAAAAUGCAAGAGGUCAAGGCAGCAAUACCCACACAAUAUGCACAGAGUCCUGUAAAAGAUUUCAAGCAACAAGUUUAUCUCCACAGUGUUCAUCUCAGAAUCUCAGAUUGCUAGCGUUUACUAGCACUUCAUAUUUCCGCAUCUACUUGUUGAUGUACACUGUAUGUAGAUAGCGUCCCACUAAAGUCAUCAGAUGGUGUUCACAUGCAAUCUGUUAUAGUUUUCGUUUAUGAUGAUAUUAACUAGGACUUCGACUUGGUAUAAAUAAAGACACAGACUAAAUGCAAGUGCAUAGUGGACGUGACCUAUAUUAGAAAGAAUUAUUCUUCCUUCAAUGAGAAACAAUGCUAAGAGAAGAAAUUAUCUAUCUUCAGAAAGGACAAAGUCCUUGGUUGAUCAAGUCGAAGCAGUUUGCAUAACUUCUUCAGAUAUAAAGCACAGCUUACCAGAAUUAUCACUGUUCGGUGCACCAGCAUUUUGGUUCCAGCCAGGCAAGUAAUGUCCAGCAUUCCCCUUCCAUGAUUCCUCAAAUCCAGCUAGUUCAUCUAUAAAGUAAUUGGGUUAGAAUUAAUGAAAAUAUGAAUCCCAGGCACAUCAAGGAAAGCUAGCCAUAUCAAAUUAACCUUCAUUCAGGUUGUGCAUUGUCUGUGUGGUGUCAACCUUCCCAUCUGAAUUCAGUUUCCUUGUCAGGGAAUGGCCCUAAAAAAUACAAGGAAAAAUUAGUUAUAGUGCACCAAGUCUUUUUUUUUUUGCCUUUUGUGGUCCAUUAGCAAUUGAUAAGUCAACUCUGUGCUAGGUACACAAUCGUGUGCGCACAGGGCUUCUCAAUAUAAUUUUGAUUAAUCUAGUACAGCUCCAACGUGCAAAGAUUACCUACCUUAUCAUGGAUUCCUCGGGAGAUCCUAUGAGUGGCCUCUUUAGUUGUUGUAUCUGCUUCCUUGCUUUCUUCCACAGUGAUCUACAAGAAGCAUAAGUAUCGUCACUUCUAACUCCAAGAACCACAAAAUAAGGCAUCACUUGCAGCUUCCUAAGAAACAAGCUUACCCCAUCACUGCCAGUCCGCCGAGUCGUUGAAGCAGUGUAGUAAGCUCCAUUAAUACCGCCAUAUGUAACAGAAGAGCUCUGAUAUGUGAAAGUACGAGCCUGCGGCUGCCCUCCACUGUUAGCACUAUUGAGAUCCCUGCGCAGCUGGACUUGGCCACCUUCUGUCCCUACAAAGAAACAAAUCAAAAGAUGUGACACCUACAUAUCAUCCUUGCGACAACUCCAUGAAUGAAACUAGAUAAGUAAACCGGAUCAUCCAGGCUCGUACCAUCACUCCCAUCAUCUGGCUCCUGAACAUAAGAAUCUUGGUUGGGCUGCUUGUUACCGUGCUCUGCGUUUUCUCCUUCAUCCUCAUCAACCUCUGUGAUCACAGGCCUUCUGCUGUUACCCCUAGGCGGAGCUUGCUCGAUGAACCCAUGGUUCCCCAUGUCCCCAAAAGGCCCUCCCAUCGGCCCAAAAGGGCUAGGUCCAAACAUGUCAUGCUCACCCAUCAUCUGACCCCCAAACGGGCCAGGUCCAAACAUUCCAUGCUCACCCAUCAUCUGACCCCCAAACGGACGGGUAAAGAAUGGAUCAUCAAAUCGAUCCCUCCCCCCAAAGAAGCCAGAAAUCAAGCUCCUGUGGGAACCAAACCCAGCAAAUGGAUCCCUGCCCCUGAAGAC